UCUCGGCAACGGAUAUCUCGGCUCACGCAUCGAUGAAGAACGUAGCAAAAUGCGAUACUUGGUGUGAAUUGCAGAAUCCCGUGAACCAUCGAGUUUUUGAACGCAAGUUGCGCCCGAAGCCUUUUGGCCGAGGGCACGUCUGCCUGGGCGUCACAC
rnacentral:rRNA from 1 species